rnacentral:lncRNA from 1 species
AAAGAAAUAAUACAGAGCGAUCCUUUACCCAGUUUUCCCCAUUGAUAAUAUCUUGCAAAACUAUAGUACAAUAUUGGCCGGGCACGGUGGCUCACACCUGUAAUCCCAGAGCUUCGAGAGGCCGAGGCCGGGCGCUGUGGCUCAUGCCUGUAAUCCAGAGUUUGAGAGGCCGAGGCCGGGCGCAGUGGCUCACGCCUGUAAUCCCAGCACUUUGAGAGGCCGAAGCCGGCCGCGGUGGCUCACGCCUGUAAUCCCAGAGCUUUAAGAGGCCGAGGCGGGUGGAUCAUGAGGUCGGGAGAUC